UUUCCGUAGGUGAACCUGCGGAGGGAUCAUUACAAGUGACCCCGGUCUAACCACCGGGAUGUUCAUAACCCUUUGUUGUCCGACUCUGUUGCCUCCGGGGCGACCCUGCCUUCGGGCGGGGGCUCCGGGUGGACACUUCAAACUCUUGCGUAACUUUGCAGUCUGAGUAAACUUAAUUAAUAAAUUAAAACUUUAAACAACGGAUCUCUUGGUUCUG
rnacentral:misc_RNA from 1 species